AUUCAAGUAAGAGUAAUAAGUACCAAAGAAAUCUAAUACUCAAGUAAAGUACAAAUCCUCUGGAUAUGUACUUAAGUACAGUACUCAAGUAAAUUUACUCCGUUACUGUCCACCACUGGAUAUAACAAACCCGCACCUCCUGAACCUAGUUAAGGAACGUCAUGAGUGUCCUUCAUCAACAGAUUCACCUCGCUGACAGAAAGCAGAUUUGGACAUAUUCCGUACUGAAACUAAAAGAAGGCUGAUUCCAAACCCUUUAAUAAAACCUAAAAAGAUAAAUUUAACGUGUCUCAUGUUGAAUAUGCAGUCGAGUGCUCGCUCUCUCGUCACGUGACAACCCUAUAAUCACUCACGUUGCAAGAUCAAAUAUUAUUUUAUUUUUUACCGUCAGUAUUAGUAGGAAGCAUCAUCUGCCUCUAGGACCCUUUGCUCUUCCUGGCAUAGGAAACCUACCACCACUAGUAAAGAAUACAUCCUUUCAAAGCUUUCUGGAGUUUAAUAAAACUCAUCGUCCUGUGAUGAAAUUAUACCUGGGCUGGCAGCAGGUCCCUGGUGGACCAGGCAGAUGACUUCACAGGAAGAAGACCACUGCCAUCUCUAUUCAAGUCUACCAAAGAUUUAGACAACAGACUUUGAAGGGGACUCCAAUUUUGAUGCAUUUUUCUGCAGAGGAUUUGCCUUUUCAUGGUGACUAUAAACAGAAAGAAAUUGUUCGGAAGACUUUUCAUUCCCAACACAGUCCCAGUUUUAGUUUUCAUUUGUAAUGUCACUGUAAACAGUAAUUCAUUAAUGGCUUAUUUAUGAGUCCUAUUUGAAAAUAAAUGGUAUCUUGUGUGGAGGACUUCAUUUUGCAUCAUCCUCUCCCUACCACAGAAUAGCCUAACAUCAAAAUAAUUAAAUAUGAUAUUAUUGUUUUUCUAUUGGUUGUCUCAUGAAUGUGAUCCACAUCCUCUCAGUUUUCUUUUUCCCUGCUUGAAAAAAAAAAAUCACCCGUUGCACAUGGAAUUUAUUUGUUUAUUUUUUACAUGUAACAUGAUUCAAAAUAGACUUAUAAAUAAAUCCUGCUUUCACAGUGACUGUGCACAUUUUUCUCUUGUUCAGUCUUCUCGUUGUUGGCUUGCAUAAACACGCAGUGCAAACAACAGUUUGAGGAGGGGGAGCUAGAAAGUCGGUGGUAUGCAAAUGUCGUGCCACAAAGGGAAUGCUGGUUCAGUUAUUAGAAAGUUAUUAAUAAUGGUCUUACGAUAGUUAUUAAUAAUGAAUAAAAAAGAUGACUCAUCAAAAUGAAUUAUAAAAAUGAAUGAAUCAAAAUGGGGCGCCACCUGACUUUAUCAGGAAAAAAUAACUAAACAGCAAAAUGAGUCUCAAAGUAUCUGUUAUUCCAUACGUGCCACCCUGUUGCCAGGGGUGGCCUUACAGAAUAACAGUGAAGGAAGGGGUCCGAGCACAGACCUUUGCAACCAUCAGCUAUGACAAAUAUGUACAAAAUAAACACAAACAACUUAUCUCAUCCAAAUAAAUCAGAAUUUAUUUACACAAGUGUUAAAAGAUAAUGAAACAACACGGGAUAAAUUUUGAUGCCUAAACUACGCAUAAACAACAGCUAACUAAACAUUAAACACAAACUUCAGAUCAUCUGUGUGUGUGUGUGUGUGUGUGUGUGUGUGUGUGUGUGUGUGUG